rnacentral:ncRNA from 14 species
UACCGUGAUGACACGCUGUCGCCCCAAACGGAGGCUCCUUUUACAGGACUAUGACCGAAUCGAUUUUAUGCCAAACACACUGAAAAUUCUGAAG